GUCAGGGUGGCCGAGCUGUCUAAGGCGCUGCAUUCAGGUCGCAGCCUCCCCUGGAGUUAUGGGUUCAAUUCUCACUUCUGACA
rnacentral:tRNA from 1 species